AGGCACUGGCACAGGUUGCCCCGAGAAGCUGUGGCUGCCCCAUCCCUGGCAGUGUUCAAGGCCAAGUUGGAUGGGGCUUUGAGCAACCUCAUCUGGUGGAAGGUGUCUCUGCCUAUGGCAAGGGUGUUGGAACUAGACGGGUUUUAGUGCUCCUUCCAACCUAAACCAUUCUGUGAUUCUAUGAUUCUGUGAUCUUGUAAUGUAGUAUGUCUCUGUUCUAGUAGGAAUCCCCUGCGAUGUGGUCCUCUACAAAUACCACAAAAGGCAAGCAUUUUCUUCCCUCUCUUGCCUUUUCAUUGCUAGAACUUUUUUCUAAUCAGGCUGUAAUCUACUAGCUAAGACUACAGCUUUCCUUGCAGAUCCAAUGGAUAUGCAGUAUCUGUCCAUACAUAAAGUAAGCCUUCAGUGAUACAUCAGUUGGUGCUGCACUGGAAUUUUUACAUAUAAGCUCUUUAUCACUGAAUGGUUCCUUUCACUGUCAGUAGGAACACCAUGUAUGAGGAGGAACUGGCAUCAAUGAGUAGAGAAAAAAACAAAUUAUCUGGGAAAUCCAAUAGUACAGUUCCUCAAUAAUUUUACUGACUCUCCAUGCCAUGUUCUGUGCUGCCACUCAUGUAAUCAGGUCCUCACCUGGACUGUGCAGCCAGGGCUGUCCCUCAUGCCACCAUCUGUGCAGAUGAGUUUAAACCACCUUCCCCGCUGGAGUCAGCAGGGCAUUGUCCAGUCACAUUGUGUGGCUGCCAGUCCUAGCCGAGGGCUGGAUCCACCCCCAGUGACUGCUCUCCUUAACCAAAGGUAAGUCACUUCUGACAUGGAAUUUCCUCCUACUGGGUACUGGUCAACCAGCCAUCUUCCAAAGGUGAGUCUGGAAGUAACAGUAACACCUCGGAGGCCUCUGCAGGCCUCACCUGUUAAGAAGUAUUUGACUUGUGAAGAAAUAUUUGCAGCUAGCAAUCUCAUCUGGUGAGCACCAUUUCUUUAACAAAGGAGGAAAGUAUUCAUAAAAGGAUAUACUGCCUAGGGCUUCCUAAUCUGCCUAGAUCCUCCUUAUUUGAAGAAUUGCAGUCACUGCUGGUAUCCUGCUUAUCCAGGAGUUGGGUGAAGAAGAAAUUGUAUAACUCGAAAGUAUAUAAAGUCUUUAACUGCUUCAACUGGGCAGAGUUCCUAUCUGCCUCUGCUGUUCUGGGUUCUCUCCUAUGGCACUACAUUGCUGCUCUUCUGACCUGAUCAUAGUUGUAUUUCAGUUACACCAUGACAGACUUUGGUGCUGUGACUUGGAUUCAAAUGUCCUGCUUCCCCUGGGAGGACCACUGACUGAUCCCUGCUGAAACCCCCUUGGUACCACUUAGAAAGGUAAGGAAUCUUCAGAAGUAGUAAAUCCUGUUGGUAUUUCAAGACAGCUCAUAUGUCAUCCAGUAAACAAGCCUUUCUCCAUAACCCUCCCUCAUUUCUGGAUACAGUGCUUUCCUUUAAGUCCUAUGACUCCAGUUAACCUCCUGGGAAAAGACAGUGAUGUAAAUUGGGUUGUGCUGUAUAUUGUGACUCUACCUUACUGCGCACACCUCAACGGGCGAAUUUAUGGCUUUUUUGCUUUAUGAACCUCCCACUGCAAAUUUUACUGCUGUUCAAGGGCAGUUUUAUGAAGAAAGAGUUGUGUAACACAAAGGUAUAUAAACUCUGUGACUGCCUCAUUUGGGCAGAGUUCACAUCAGCAGAGUCCCCUCCUUCAGCUGUAGCAGUAAACUACUUUUGUUCUAACCUGA